GGAUGUGAGAGGGAUCUGGCCGUGACAUCUGUCACUUCAUUGAUGGCCAGGGUGCAUUUGGCUGAUCUGGUUGGUUGGGUGAGUGCUGCCUUCUUCCCCCAUCGCUCCACGUGCGCCCCUCCUGCAGCUGCAGGUCUGGAUCCAUUAGGUGAAAGAGGACAAUGACAUUGACAGAGGAAGACUGGUCUUUGGUCAAGGUCAAGGGUAUAUGAGUAACUGAGCCACCCUGCUGGAGCCUCCAAGCAAGCUCUCAUGGCCCAUUUGUAAAAGAACAUCAGGUAUUCAAAUUUCCAAGACUCCAGACACAUCCAAAGGAGUUACUGCAUGUAGCAGUCUGCCUUUCUUU
ensembl:misc_RNA 7SK 7SK RNA